AGACUCUCUUAACUAGGGUUGUAAGGCUAACAAGAGAUACAGCAGAUGGAACAGCGAUCGCUAGACUUGCAGUCCUGAGCCAAGUUACCAGCAAAGUAGCAGAUAACAAUAAACAGCUAUUGGAAGAACAAAUGAAUAGUUCCUGUUUCCUUGCUGUGUUGUACUCAUCUAGGAGAUUCUGACAUGAAUCUUCCUCGUGUGCAAUGGGGAAAAAGCUGGAUAUUUGGGCCUCUUGGUUCACUCAGUUGGAAAACUGUGCCACUCAUUGACAAAGGGCCCCAGCUAUGGAAUCAGAUUCAAUCUUGACUGUACCAUUUCUAGCUGAAUGACCUAAGAUGGAGAAACAGAUUCAGAUAUGAUAAGUAACCUACCAGCAUCCACCUACAAGUGAGCAACGGUCUAGCCAUUCAAACCCAUUUCUGCGUAACUCUGAAAAUCCACUUCCAUGCCACACUAGUCAGUUACCUCAUUAAUCCUCUGAAAAGCACCAUCAGUUCUAAUUUUUUUGGCCAUUGAAGAAAUGAAAAUGAACCAAAGUCUUUAUGAAGUUACAGUGCAACUUUUUUCCUCUGCAAACUAGAAUGAUGCAUUACAUACUUCUGCCUUCUAUUUUUUAGUUAUAAUGCUGAAAUGGAAUUACCUGAAAGGACUAAACCUCUCAUGGCCACAGAAAUAUCUCUGGCAUGAACUGUAUAUGUUACUGUGAUUGUUUUGGAAAAGAGGAGAAGAAGGAAAUAAACAAACAAAACCCUCCCAAACAAACAAACUAAUCCUACUUGUGUAAAAAAAAGUAUUGCAAUCUGCCUUUAGGCGAAAUUCUGUUAAGAUUCUUUUGAGUUUCCAUUGGACACUGGUUUCUGUAUACACUGAGAAAAUUGCCAGCCCACCUGUUACCCAUCCAAACUGGAAUUGACCAUGAUGGCUGAUGAGUCUUCAGAGAUUGUUCCUUUGCAUCAGCUACUUGAGUAUGCUUCUGCCAUGUUACUUACUUCUCCUCAAUCAAAAACUCCAAAGACAAUGGGUCUACAGGUGAAAAUGUAUGAGAAUUUUACCAACAUGAACUAGUAGUACAUGAUUUUCUUAUACCCAAACUAGAGUCCAAAAGGAGAUUUCAUCCAGUAGAAACAAGCCACCCAUGCAAACCAUCUGUAGAAUAACCACAUGACAAACCCAGUGAUGGUUUCAUGGUUGCCAAUAAAACAAGCUUAGAAGCCUCCCAAGGAGACAAAUGCUUUUGAAAAAUAUCUUCCUCUGCUUAGCAUAUGGGUCUGUGAUGGCUGCCCAAACAAAAGGAUACAGCAAGGUAGGGCAGAGCUGCAAAAUGUUUUUCAUUUUUGUUUUUAUUAUAAUAAGAUGCUUUCCUUUUCAUGUCUUUUUCUUUCUCAGAGCUCCUAUAAAGAUGCCUUGUCUUUUUGACCAAUGCUGGGGUUUAAUGGGAUUCUCUCCAGUGCUCAGGGGAACUGGACAUAUUCAAGAAGAUGCAGGACCUGUUUUUCCUAUUGUUUGAGAUUUCAGUGGCUUCAUAUCUUCCCCUGCUGAAGGAGGCAGAGGGAGGCCAAGAGAUGAGCUGACAAAUAUUUUUUUUCGUCUAAGUCUUUUCCCAUUUUCUCGACUCUACAACUCAAUACCAAGGCAGAUUUCCCUCUCCCCUUUGCAUGGGGCUGUGGAAUUGUGAAACCAGAAGGUCUAGUCUGCAGGGCAGAACAGUAGCAUGCGUUUCCCCACCGUGCACCCUGUGGCUGAUGGGGUAGAGGAAAUCACAGGCUUGGAAGGGCAUUUGAUUGGAAUCUCCUUGGCCAGAGGCACAGAGAAGAAAAGAUGCUGCACUGGCAGAAAGUAACAAUGUUAUCAUUACCCUUCUCCCAGGUCCUACUCUUUGUCUUUUUUCUCUCCCUCUGAAUUAAAAAAAAUAAAUACAUAUACAAUAUUUAGGCAAAAAACAAGAUAGGAAAAGAAAAUUUACUUCUCCCUAAUCUCUACUGCAACAAAAGACAAUGUAUCUAGAAGUGCGAAAUUUCUGUUUUAAUGACCUCAUCUAGUCUUGCCAAAUGCUACUCAAUGAAUCACAACUAACUGGGCUCCCAAUAAACCAGCAGAAAAAAAUCAGGCAUCUUGUGGUGAACAACUCAGAAUCCACAUGAAAUACUUAAAAGGGAAUCCAAAGACUCAACAUUUUCAAAAGGAUACAUUUUACUUUGUGUAACAUUAAAUAUUUCCUCAAAAAUUUCAACAAAAUAAAUGGAUUUUCAAAGUAAAAUAUAUCUCUGCCACCAGAAGUAACAGGAACAGCAGAACUCAAGCAGUGACAGUACAGGUAAGUAAGCAAGAGGAAAAAUAGGCAGUGAUUGCCUACAACCUCCAGUGGAUUAAGAGUAUUCCAUUAUAUGGAGGUCUUUUCAAUAGGAUCAAGAUGGGAUUCAGAAUCGGGAAGAGUGUAGAUUUAGUCUGCACAAGUAACUACCUCAAUCAGCAGAUAGGUGCUUAAAGGAUAUAAGGGUAUUUUCGAGAGAAGGCAGGUGGACAACACAGAGCAGAUGGAUCUUCCCAUUUCUUCCUUUACAGGUGAUGACAAUCUGGUUCCCAAGCUAAGACUUAUAAAUAUGAGAUAAAUAGAGAAGGAAAUGUUGUCAUAUACAAUGAGGUACAAAAUUAUAUUAGACUCUGCCGCAGUAGUGCUGGUAUUCAUGGUGAAGGAAAAAGGGAUGAGUCUAGAGCUCUUAGGCAAGACCUUACUGAGAAGAAUCUGGAGGUUUUGGCAGCCUAUAACGGAAGAAGAGUCAGGGCAAUAAUUUUUAGAUAGGAGAAAGCUCAUGAGCAAAGGCAUAUAAGUCAGAAGGAGCCAACUGUGAACAAGAUAAAAUAAGACAGUCAGAAGAGAAGUUUGUGGAUACAGAAAGGAGAAUUUUGAAAAAUUAGGAGAGCCAAUUGAUCAGACAGAUGGAAUAAGGUUGUGUAACUUGGACUUUUUCUGGUAUGUUCUCUGAAGCCUUUUAAAUUAAUGUCCAUCAACAAAGGAAUGGAUUAAGAAGAUGUGGUAUAUAUACACAAUGGACUACUAUUCAGCCAUAAA